AUCCAUCUGAAGAGUCCCAAAUAGAAUGAAAUACGCGUUAUCCCGGAU
rnacentral:hammerhead_ribozyme from 1 species